ACACGACUACAUUAGAUACCCCGGUAGUCCCAGCCCUAAACGAUGCGCGUUAGGUGUAUCGGUGACCACGAGUCACCGAGGUGCCGAAGGGAAACCGUGAAACGUGCCGCCUGGGAAGUACGGUCGCGAGGCUGAAACUUAAAGGAAUUGGCGGGGGAGCACCACAACGGGUGGGGCCUGCGGUUUAAUUGGACUCAACGCCGGGAAGCUCACCGGAUAAGACAGCGGAAUGAUUGCCGGGCUGAAGACCCUGCAUGACCAGCUG
rnacentral:rRNA from 1 species